rnacentral:rRNA from 1 species
GUGGGGAAUAUUCCGCAAUGGACGAAAGUCUGACGGAGCAACGCCGCGUGAGUGAUGAAGGUUUUCGGACUGUAAAGCUCUGUUGUUUAGGACGAAAGUGCCUGUUGCAAAUAGUUACAGGUAUUGACGGUACUGAACGAGGAAGCCACGGCUAACUACGUGCCAGCAGCCGCGGUAAUACGUAGGUGGCAAGCGUUGUCCGGACUUAUUGGGCGUAAAGAGCAUGUAGGCGGGAAUCUAAGUCUGAUGUGAAAAUGCGGGGCUCAACCCCGUAUUGCGAUGGAAACUGGGUUUCUAGAGUGCAGGAGAGGAAAGGGGAAUUCCCAGUGUAGCGGUGAAAUGCGUAGAUAUUGGGAGGAACACCAGUGGCGAAGGCGCCUUUCUGGACUGUGUCUGACGCUGAGAUGCGAAAGCCAGGGUAGCGAACGGGAUUAGAAACCCUAGUAGUCC